rnacentral:rRNA from 1 species
UACGGAGGGUGCGAGCGUUAAUCGGAAUUACUGGGCGUAAAGCGUGCGUAGACGGUUAUUUAAGUCAGGUGUGAAAGCCCCGGGCUCAACCUGGGAAUUGCAUUUGAGACUGAAUAGCUAGGGUGCGGAAGAGGGAAGCGGAAUUUCCGGUGUAGCGGUGAAAUGCGUAGAUAUGCGGAGGAACACCGAUGGCGAAGGCAAUCCCCUGGGCCUGCACUGACGCUCAUGCACGAAAGCGUGGGGAGCAAACAGG